rnacentral:misc_RNA from 1 species
GAUGAAGAACGGAGCGAAAUGCGAUACGUAAUGUGAAUUGCAAAUUCAGUGAAUCAUCGAGUCUUUGAACGCACAUUGCGCCCCCUGGUAUUCCGGGGGGCAUGCCUGUCCGAGCGUCAUUGCUGCCCUCAAGCACGGCUUGUGUGUUGGGCCCCGUCCUCCGAUCCCGGGGGACGGGCCCGAAAGGCAGCGGCGGCACCGCGUCCGGUCCUCGAGCGUAUGGGGCUUUGUCACCCGCUCUGUAGGCCCGGCCGGCGCUUGCCGAUCAACCCAAAUUUUUUAUCCAGGUUGACCUCGGAUCAGGUAGGGAUACCCGCUGAACUUAAGCAUAUCAAUAAGCGGAGGA